UCUUCCGCCCAGUGACGUCACUCCUGGCCGCGGGGGCGCUGCGCGUGCGCCUGGAGUCGUGCGCGCUUCCCGCUGCCCUGAGGGUGCAACAUUAGUGAUGGCAAUAUCAGUAUUGCAGUUGACCAGUCUUGCACAGAUGCCCCCACAAAUACUGUGGUAACUGAUGUGACCCUUAUGGGAGGACUGCAUAAAGAAAUCUUUAGAAGUUCUAACCAUUAUAGUAUGAGGAUUUAACUGCUACUAAUCAAGACAGGAAGGAAUGCAUCCAAUUAGUAGUUUAUCAGGUGAAGUUCUGCUGAUGGAAAGUUCCUUGACCUGGUGAGGCCUAAAACAUUAAUUAUUAAUAAAUUAAUGUAUUAAACAUUGUUCCAGUCGAAUUACCUUAGAGAGGCUGUGUCUAAAUUGUUGAAGCUUUGCGUUGAGGAUUUCCCCAUCUCCAAAGAGUGAAUUGCCUCCUGCUGAUCUCAGCUCUGUUAUUCUUGAGACUAAGUGCGACAAUUCAAUCACAGAAGUCAGAUAUUAAAUAGUCAGUGUUUAAGUGUAUAGUAUGGCAUUUAACGGAUCCCUAAGAGUCAUGGUGAAAUUGGACUUUUGCUUACUGCAGGAUCUAAAGGGACAUGAGAGAAACAGAAAAAAAGAUCAUGCAUAGAACAACAGUUACACCCAUGGAUCAUAAACCAUGAAAUAGACCAUAAAAAUGAUAAGAAAGCUUAUCCAAAUUACAAUUGUUUGAACACAAAGCCCCCUAAGAAAGCAAGCACUAUGAUCAUUCUCAUACAGAACAAACCACUGCUGAGGUAAAACCUUUUGGCUGGUAGUAAUACAAUGAAAAUACUAAUCUUAGCUGUUAAUCCUUUUGAUUUAUAGGUAUUACAUAAAUCAUGCUGCUGAUUUUUCCAAGCCUGCUGUUAGGAUUUGUUGCAUACUGUUCACCUGGAGAGAAUGGCCUGUUGGGAAUUCCUGACUAUUUUUGGGAAUACUUCAGAUGUAAUAUGGACUGCAAAUGUGAGCUUGAAAGUCACAUCAGCAUCUGAAGUCCUUAUCAUGCAGCACUUUCUGACAUGAGGAUUACAGUUCGCUGGAACUUCUGAUGUAAGUUAUUUAUGUGUGGAGAUAAUUCAAGGAAUGUACUCCCUUCAAAACACUAUUGAUUUUGCUGUUUCAAUUUGAAUAAAGUUCAUGAUCUUUCCCA
rnacentral:lncRNA from 1 species